rnacentral:lncRNA from 1 species
ACACCCUUCUACACAGCCAUUGCAAAGAAUCGCAACAGAUGAACGCAAGCAUGAUCUCCCUGAACAGCAAGUCACUCCUCGUCGCCGUCGUUAUGCUGGUCGCCCUGUGCAACCUUGCAUCAGCCCAAUUCGGCUUCGGACGUGGGUUCGGACGUGGCUACGGUGGCUUCGGUAGCGGAUAUGGGGGCGGCCGAGGAUACGGCGGAUACGGGGGAUACGGUCGUGGAUAUGGAGGCUACGGAGGUUAUGGCCGUGGAUUCUAUGGCUGAGCUACACUGAACCAGAACUGUUGCAACUACAACAAAUCACUACCUCAGAUCAGAUGAAAUUUCCUCGGUACCCAGCGUUUUCGACUUCAUGUCUCAUGAAUGUCAAUAAAUUAUUUAUUAUGUUUGGACUGA